rnacentral:rRNA from 1 species
UACGUAGGGUCCGAGCGUUGUCCGGAGUUACUGGGCGUAAAGCGCGCGCAGGCGGCGGUGUUGGCCCGGCGUGAAAGCCCCCGGCUCAACCCGGGGGAGAGUCGUCGGGGACCGCACCGCUUGAGGGCGGUAGGGGCUGGUGGAAUGCCUGGUGUAGUGGUGAAAUGCGUAGAGAUCAGGCAGAACACCUGGGCGAAGGCGGCCAGGCUGGGCCGUCCCUGACGCUGAGGCGCGAAGGCGUGGGGAGCGAAGCGGGAUUGAGAUA